GCUAGAACUAUUUUGGGACUACUUCCGCGUCUUUUGAUUGCUCCUUUGAAAAUAGAAUCUUGACAUGUUUGGAGAUAGGUGUAAUUUUGACGUCACUUACAGUGCCACAAUAUGUCCUUGCUGUUACUGUAUUGCGGGCAGUUGCUGCCGCUCUUCUUGAACACAAUGCGAAGGCAUCGUGUGUUCAAGAAGAGGAUUCUAUCCAAAAUGCGCUUCGCCGUCAUGAAUGUGGCAACCAUGUUGAUCGUUUAAAAGCUCUUAUGGCAGAUGUGGAUUCUGUAAUGACAAGAUUAAAGACAGAUACGAAUGACGACAAUCGGGAUCCUCCUUCAGCCCAACAGAUAGCAACCAAUUACAACAUUCUGACGAACGGACAUCUGAUGGCAAGCGCUGCUUUUUUCGAUCGAGUGGGAACCAUAUGCUCAAAGGGGGAAGCUCCGGUGUACUUGGCUUUACUGAAAACGAUUGCAGUAGUGGCAACUCAUUACCUGCUUUUCGAAAACCUUCGGAUCACUUUGAUAGCAGCAGUACAAGGCUCUCCAGGCGUACGCGAGCAGACACUAGUCUGGAAGCGGCAUUUAGCAGAAGCGCUCAACGGCAUGGCCCUUGUUAACGAAGACAAAGUGCACUUUGCUGUCUGCUAUAUGACAUCCGCGUCAAAUACCAUGCUGGAAAGAUUUCGACAGGAGGUUGGCUGCAGUGCAUUUCUUCAGAACAACGCCCCGCUGUUUACAAGGAAGGCAGUUAUCGUAUCCAGAGCGGGCGUAGACCUUGGAGAUAUUCUGCCCGAUCCUUUUAUACGUGAGAGACGAUCCGCUUACGUUCAGAAUGCUUCCAUUCGCGCGGCUGGUGUUGUCGCAGUUAUACUUGCACACGGUGUUGCC